rnacentral:rRNA from 1 species
UCUUUAUGUUAAAAUUAAUUAAAUAAAUUAUUUUUAAGUGUCAUAUUUAUUAGAUUGAUUAAACAUUUUAUUGGGGCGAUAUAAAAAUUUAUAGAAAAAGA